rnacentral:rRNA from 1 species
AUACGGAGGAUCCGAGCGUUAUCCGGAUUUAUUGGGUUUAAAGGGUGCGCAGGCGGCCAUUUAAGUCAGCGGUUAAAUCGUGGGGCUCAACCCCAUUCUGCCGUUGAUACUGGGUGGCUUGAUUGCGGUCGAGGUUGGCGGAAUUCGUUGUGUAGCGGUGAAAUGCAUAGAUAUGACGAAGAACACCGAUUGCGUAGGCAGCUGACCAGACCGCAAAUGACGCUCAUGCACGAAAGUGCGGGGAUCGAACAGGAUUAGAUACCCUGGUAGUCCGCACAGUAAACGAUGAAUACUUGUUUUCGGCGAUAUAAUGUCGGAGGCAAAGCGAAAGCGAUAAGUAUUCCACCUGGGGAGUACGUCGGCAACGAUGAAACUCAAAGGAAUUGACGGGG